rnacentral:lncRNA from 1 species
AUGUCCCCACGCCCCUCCCCCACAGGCACAUUUUCUCACAGCUCCAGCGCCAGGCGAGGAGGGAGCGUCUCUGCCCGGACUCCGCUGCGGUCGGUCCCCCCAAGCAGCCCGAGCUGCGGUGAACGUGUCCAGCACUCCAAUCAGCAGACCCCGCGCUCAUUGUCCACCGCAGCAGAAACACCCAGACCGCCCUGCAGUAUUUACUGGGGCAGGCUCCAUCACGCGCGGGAGAUUUUCUUUGCUCUAAAUCAGCUACAAUGUUGGGACACCCGCGUGUCGAGGGAGGCUCCCCGGCUUUCACGUUGCUUUAUUAUUGAAAGAUCUUCCUCUUUGCUGGAUCCAACUUUCCCGGCCCGGGAAGGCAGCUGGCCAUGAAACGCCUCGAGGAAGCCGGUUCAGAUGUGAACUCGGAGAGAUUUCGGAGGGAGCCCGAGUCGGUUUUGUGGCUACGCGAGGGAUGCGGACUCCAGGCGCUGCCCUCAGAGAUCACACGCCCAGAGGUUCCCAGCAUCCCGCUACAUACAGUAACAGAUCAGCACCAGGACACGGCCCUGCUCGUUAAACACCAGCGAGAACGUGU